GGUAAGUACGGACUAGCAGGCGCGGUGAUACGUGGGGAGCAAGGUUUGUUCGGAAGGACGUGGCGUAAAGGGUGUGGAGGCGGUGCUCUAAGUCAGUGAUGAAAUCUCCCGGCUGAACUGGGAGGGUGCGGCUGAAACUGGAGUGCUCGAGGAUGGGAGGGGUAAGCGGAAUUCCUGGUGUAGCGGUGAAAUGCGUAGAUAUCAGGAGGAACACCUGUGGUGUAGACAGCUUACUGGACCAUUUCUGACGCUGAGACACGAAAGCGUGGGUAGCAAACAGGACUAGAUACCCCAGUAGUC
rnacentral:rRNA from 1 species